GCCGGGCACGGUGGUGCAUGCCUGUAGUCCCAGCUACUCGGGAGACUGAGUCAGGAAGAUCGCUUGAGUCCAGAAGCUGUAGCGCGAUAUGAUGAUCGCGUGUCUGCCCUAAGUUUGGCAUCAAUGUGGGGACGACCCUGGAACGGGGACCACCAGUUUACCUAAGGAGGAGUAAACAGCCCCAGGCCUGAAAAGUAGCAGGUCAAAGCUUCCGUGCUUAUCAGUGUGGAACUUGGAUAAUUUGGUGAAGUCUUGGCAUAUCUGUAUUUGUUUUC
rnacentral:SRP_RNA from 1 species